rnacentral:rRNA from 1 species
GGAGGGGAUACGUGCACGCUUGUCUCAUCUUUGUUAUUUCUCCAACUGUGCACAUUUUGUAGAUCCUGGAUGGAGCUUUUAUGAAUUUUCAUUCGAGUCGGGACUGCUGUGCUUCCUUUUUUGUGAAGUCGGCUUUCCCUUGCAUCUUCCAGGUCUAUGUUAUUUUUUUCACAACCUCUCAAACGUGUUUAGAAUGUUGAAUCAGGAGCUUUUUGCACCUAUAUAAAUGAAAUAUACAACUUUCAGCAACGGAUCUCUUGGCUCUCGCAUCGAUGAAGAACGCAGCGAAAUGCGAUAAGUAAUGUGAAUUGCAGAAUUCAGUGAAUCAUCGAAUCUUUGAACGCACCUUGCGCUCCUUGGUAUUCCGAGGAGCAUGCCUGUUUGAGUGUCAUUUGACUUAUCAACCACAUCAGAUGUUUUUUGAUGUGGCUUGGAUGUGGGGGUUUCUUUUGCCGGCUUAUACAAAAGGUCGGCUCCCCUGAAAUGUAUUAGUGGUAUCUGAGCUACUGCUAUCGGUGUGAUAAUUAUCUAUGCCUUUGGUAUGCUGCAUGAACAGAUUGCACUGCUUAUAACAAUCGAAUUUGACAAA